GCGAGCCAGCGGGCGGGCGACUCAAAAGAGAGGAAACUCCUCCCUCGCUGCAGGCACCCGAAUUGGCGACAAUUAGCCGGAGACGGCUGGCGACGGAACAGAAAAGAGAUCCGGUCGGGGCGAUACCGUGAUGGCGAAAGCCUGAGGUUUCCGAUACCGGAAUGAAACUGCCGACCCGGGUGGAGCAAGGCCAAACAGAGCACAAGGGUCCUGCACCUGCUCAGGUUGGCUGCUCAGCGGAAUCCCGCCUAGAACAGAAGGAGGGUUACGGCUGGCACGC
rnacentral:RNase_P_RNA from 2 species